AUUGAACGCUGGCGGCAUGCCUUACACAUGCAAGUCGAACGGUAACAGGUCUCCGGAUGCUGACGAGUGGCGAACGGGUGAGUAAUACAUCGGAACGUGCCCGCUCGUGGGGGAUAACUACGCGAAAGAGUAGCUAAUACCGCAUACGCUCUACGGAUGAAAGCGGGGGAUCUUCGGACCUCGUGCGGACGGAGCGGCCGAUGGCAGAUUAGGUAGUUGGUGGGGUAAAAGCUUACCAAGCCGACGAUCUGUAGCCGGUCUGAGAGGACGACCGGCCACACGGGGGCUGAGACACGGCCCAGAGUCCUACGGGAGGCAGCAGUGGGGAAUUUUGGACAAUGGGGGCAAGCCUGAUCCAGCAAUGCCGCGUGCAGGGUGAAGGCGUUCGGGUUGUGAACUGCUUUUGUACGGAGCGAAACGGCUUCCACUAAUACUGGGGGCUAAUGACGGUACCGUAAGAAUAAGCACCGGCUAACUACGUGCCAGCAGCCGCGGUAAUAC
rnacentral:rRNA from 1 species